rnacentral:lncRNA from 1 species
GUUGAUGGAAUUUGUUGUUACAUAUCCAUACAUGCACAUGACAUAACAAUAUAAUUUGGCUAAUAUCAUUCCCCAGCACUUGCGCGCCCCCUCCCCACUUCCCACUCCUUGGCCCAUUUCCUCUAUUGAUCUCCCUUUGAUUUUAGGAGAUUGACCCCCAGCUUUCUUUUCCUUUUUUCUCUCUAACUUCCAUAUAUGCUAGAAAACAUAUGACCCUUAACUCUCUGAGCCUGACUUAUUUCACCUAACGUGAUAGUCUCUGGUUCCAUCCAUUUCUGCAAAUGACAUAAUUUCAUUUUUCUUUCUGAAGAAAUAAGACUUCAUUGUACAUAUAUACCACAUUUUCUUUAUCCAUUCACCCAUUGAUGGAUACCUAGGCUGGUUCCAUAGUUUGUCUAUUGUGAAUUGUGCUGCUAGGAACAUGGGUAUGCAGGUAUCACUGUAAAUAAGAUGACUUUAAUUCUUUAGGAUAAAUUACAAGGAGUGGUAUAGCUGGGUCAUGUGGUGAUUCCAUACCUAGUCUUUUGAAGAACCUCCACACUGAUUUCCAUAGAAAAUGUACCAAUUUAUAAUUCCACCGACAGUGUAAAAUUGCUCCUUUUUCUCUACAUCCCCUCCAGCCUUUAUUUUUGUUUGUAUUCUUGAUGAGUGCCAUUCUGACUGAUGUGAGAUGAAGUCUCAGUGGAGUUGAUUUGCAUUUCCCUAAUUGCUAAUGAUGUCAAACAUUUUUUCAUAUAUUUG